UACGUAGGGUGCAAGCGUUGUCCGGAAUUAUUGGGCGUAAAGAGCUCGUAGGCGGUCUGUCACGUCGGCUGUGAAAACCCGAGGCUCAACCCCGGGCCUGCAGUCGAUACGGGCAAACUAGAGUACUGCAGGGGAGACUGGAAUUCCUGGUGUAGCGGUGAAAUGCGCAGAUAUCAGGAGGAACACCGGUGGCGAAGGCGGGUCUCUGGGCAGUAACUGACGCUGAGGAGCGAAAGCGUGGGGAGCAAACGGG
rnacentral:rRNA from 1 species